GUGCUCGCUUCAGCACCACAUAUACUGAAAUUGGAAUGACACAGAGAAGAUUAGCAUGGUCCCUGUGCAAGGAUGACAUGCAAAUUCGUGAAGCAUUCCAUAUUUUU